CCUAGGGAACAAUAAUUAGAAGACCUCACCCUUAGAAAAAGAGCAACGACGCAUCUGGGAAUUUCAGGGCUUCUCCAUUUUCAUCACCACCAAGAACAAACCCCCUUUUUCCUAAUAUAGAUACACGCCUCACUCUCCACAAAGAGAUCAUAAAUACACACUCACACAGACAAUGCUCAUUAAUUCUCUCACGGUUCCUCUACUGGAUAUUUUCUGGAAACUUUGAAGUUUAAUUGAGCUGUGAGAGUCUCAUUUGCCGGUUGAUUUUGCUAUUAUGUGGGUAGCUGAACCCUAAUUUGCUGAAUAUAUUCCUUACUUGGCUAUUAUAAGUUGCACUACUGCUGUUAAGGUGUAAAAAGGAGGUGUAACAACGUUCGCAAAAGAGGAAUAAUUGGGCAGUAAUUUUUGUUCUUCAGGAACGCGAGGCUUUGACCGCGUUCGCGAAGAAGGAAGUGUCUGGGCAGAAUCUUUAAGUUCAAAAAAUGAGAGUUGAGUUCAUAUUUUCAAAAACUCAUUAGAGAGCUUGGGAGAAGGUGAAUUUAGAGAGGAUUUUCAAAGGAGUGAUUGGGAUUUGGGGCAUUUGGAAGCCGAUCGAGAGGCAAGGGC